UGAGGUGCUUGCACCUUAUCUUAGCGGCGGACGGGUGAGUAAUGCUUAGGAAUCUGCCUAUUAGUGGGGGACAACAUUUCGAAAGGAAUGCUAAUACCGCAUACGCCCUACGGGGGAAAGCAGGGGAUCUUCGGACCUUGCGCUAAUAGAUGAGCCUAAGUCGGAUUAGCUAGUUGGUGGGGUAAAGGCCUACCAAGGCGACGAUCUGUAGCGGGUCUGAGAGGAUGAUCCGCCACACUGGGACUGAGACACGGCCCAGACUCCUACGGGAGGCAGCAGUGGGGAAUAUUGGACAAUGGGGGGAACCCUGAUCCAGCCAUGCCGCGUGUGUGAAGAAGGCCUUUUGGUUGUAAAGCACUUUAAGCGAGGAGGAGGAGCUCUAGAUUAAUACUCUAGAUGCUUGGACGUUACUCGCAGAAUAAGCACCGGCUAACUCUGUGCCAGCAGCCGCGGUAAU
rnacentral:rRNA from 1 species